rnacentral:rRNA from 1 species
GACGAACGACUGGCGGCGUGCCUAACACAUGCAAGUCGAACGGGACCAGUCUUGGUGGCAACACUUUGGUUGGUUUAGUGGCGAACGGGUGAGUAACACGUGAGGAACCUGCCCCGGAGACCGGGAUAACAGGAGGAAACUUCUGCUAAUACUGGAUGUCCCCAUUGUGCCGCAUGGUGUGGUGGGGAAAUGGGUUUCCGCUUCGGGAGGGUCUCGCGGCCUAUCAGCUUGUUGGUGGGGUAAUGGCCUACCAAGGCGUCGACGGGUAGCUGGUCUGAGAGGACGAUCAGCCACACUGGGACUGAGACACGGCCCAGACUCCUACGGGAGGCAGCAGUGGGGAAUAUUGGUCAAUGGGCGAGAGCCUGAACCAGCCAAGUCGCGUGAAGGAAGAAGGAUCUAUGGUUCGUAAACUUCUUUUGCAGGGGAAUAAAGUGCAGGACGUGUCCUGUUUUGUAUGUACCCUGAGAAUAAGGAUCGGCUAACUCCGUGCCAGCAGCCGCGGUAAAGUCUAG